CAAAUAUUGCAUUCAACAAGUUUUUCUUAUAAACGUUUAUAGUUUAUAAGAAAAUGAAAAGGGAAGUUGGUGUAAAUCCAACGCGGUCCCGCCACUGUAAGGGUGAGUUUUUUACAUUGAUGCCACUGGAUAGAAAAUCUGGGAAGGCGUAAAAAAACUAUGAACCUGAGCCAGGAUACCUGCUUGUGUGAUGUUAAUAUAU
rnacentral:ncRNA from 14 species